rnacentral:rRNA from 1 species
UGGCUCAGAACGAACGCUGGCGGCAGGCCUAACACAUGCAAGUCGAGCGCACUCUUCGGAGUGAGCGGCGGACGGGUUAGUAACGCGUGGGAAUAUACCCUUCACUACGGAAUAGCCUCGGGAAACUGAGAGUAAUACCGUAUACGCCCUUCGGGGGAAAGAUUUAUCGGUGAUGGAUUAGCCCGCGUCUGAUUAGAUAGUUGGUGGGGUAACGGCCUACCAAGUCUACGAUCAGUAGCUGGUUUGAGAGGAUGAUCAGCAACACUGGGACUGAGACACGGCCCAGACUCCUACGGGAGGCAGCAGUGGGGAAUCUUAGACAAUGGGCGCAAGCCUGAUCUAGCCAUGCCGCGUGAGUGACGAAGGCCUUAGGGUCGUAAAGCUCUUUCGCCAGGGAUGAUAAUGACAGUACCUGGUAAAGAAACCCCGGCUAACUCCGUGCCAGCAGCCGCGGUAAUACGGAGGGGGUUAGCGUUGUUCGGAAUUACUGGGCGUAAAGCGCGCGUAGGCGGAUUGGAAAGUUGGGGGUGAAAUCCCGGGGCUCAACCCCGGAACUGCCUCCAAAACUAUCAGUCUAGAGUUCGAGAGAGGUGAGUGGAAUUCCAAGUGUAGAGGUGAAAUUCGUAGAUAUUUGGAGGAACACCAGUGGCGAAGGCGGCUCACUGGCUCGAUACUGACGCUGAGGUGCGAAAGUGUGGGGAGCAAACAGGAUUAGAUACCCUGGUAGUCCACACCGUAAACGAUGAAUGCCAGACGUCGGGGGGCUUGCCCUUCGGUGUCACACCUAACGGAUUAAGCUUCCGCCUGGGGAGUACGGUCGCAAGAUUAAAACUCAAAAGAAUUGACGGGGGCCCGCACUUUCGGUGGAGCAUGUGGUUUAAUUCNAAGCAACGCGCAGAACCUUACCAACCCUUGACAUCCUAGGACCGCCAGAGAGAUCUGGUUUUCACUUCGGUGACCUAGUGACAGGUGCUGCAUGGCUGUCGUCAGCUCGUGUCGUGAGAUGUUCGGUUAAGUCCGGCAACGAGCGCAACCCACAUCCUUAGUUGCCAGCAGUUCGGCUGGGCACUCUAGGGAAACUGCCCGUGAUAAGCGGGAGGAAGGUGUGGAUGACGUCAAGUCCUCAUGGCCCUUACGGGUUGGGCUACACACGUGCUACAAUGGCAUCUACAGUGAGUUAAUCUCCAAAAGAUGUCUCAGUUCGGAUUGGGGUCUGCAACUCGACCCCAUGAAGUCGGAAUCGCUAGUAAUCGCGUAACAGCAUGACGCGGUGAAUACGUUCCCGGGCCUUGUACACACCGCCCGUCACACCAUGGAGUUGGUUCUACCCGACGACGCUGCGCUAACCCUUCGGGGAGGCAGGCGGCCACCGUAGGAUCAGCGACUGGGGUGAAGUCGUA